GCUAACAACAGAAGUUAAAGCCAACAUAAAAGCCAAAGAGAGGGCAUAUAAUAGAGCAAUAAUUAGUGGGAAGUUAGAGGAUUGGGAAGCUUUAAAAAAGAACAAAAGGCAUCUAAAAAAGUAAUUAAGAAGGUAAAGAUGGACUACGAAAGUAAGCCAAUAAUUUUAAAGAGGAUACCAAAAGUUUCUUCAGAUAUGUAAAAUGCAAAAGGGAGGCAAGAGUGGAUAUCAGUCUGCUGGACAACAAUGCUGGGGGACAAGGAAAUGGCAGAUGAACUGAAAAGGCAGCGUCCAGCACCCAGGGCAUGCCCUUUUCUCACUAUUACCAUCAGGUAGGAGGUACAGAAGCCUGAAGGCACACACUCAGCGAUUCAGGAACAGCUUCUUCCCCUCUGCCAUCUGAUUCCUCAAUGGACUUUGAAGCUUUGGACACUACCUCACUUAUUUUAAUAUUAUGUAUUGCAUUGAACUCCUGCUGCGAAGUUAACAAAUUUCACGUCACAUGCCUGUGAUAAUAAACCUGAUUCUGAUUCUGACUUUGGCCAGAAGGUUCAAACUUUGCUUAAAUUGUAGAACAUUUUUCUAGACGAGAUCCUGAACUUACUUGAAGGCAAGACAGUGCCUAUAUUUCAUUAGGAGUCUGAGGAGAUUUUGUCUAUGACCCAAAACACUCCGAAACUGCUGCAGAUGUGUCGUGGAGAGCAUUCUGACAGACUACAUCACUGCUUGGUAUGGGGGAAUUACUGCACAAGGUCAAAUAAAGCUACAGAAAGUGGUAAAAUUAGUCAGUUCCAUCUUGGGUACUAGCCUCUGUAGUAUCCAAGACUUCUUCAAGGAACGGUGACUCAGGAAGGCUGUGUCCACUACUAAGGACCCCCAUCACCCAGGACAUACCUUCUUCUCAUUGUUACCAUCAGGAAGGAGGUACAGGAGCCUGAAGGCACACACUCAGUGAUUCAGGAACAGCUUCUUCCCCUCUGUCAUCUGAUUCCUAAAUGGACAUUAAACCCAUGAGCACUACCUCACUUUUUAAAAAUUAUUUCUAUUUUAAUGUAACUAUUUAAUGUACAUUUCUACUUACUGUAAUUGAUUUACUUGUGUAUUUUUUCCUAUAUUAUCACGUAUUCCAUUGUACUGCUGCCACUAAGUUAACAAAUCUCACGACACAUGCCAGUGAUAUUACAACUGAUUCUGAUUCUGACUUUAUAGGACAAUCAAAUUUUUUUUUGAACUGCUUUGUGGCUCACUUGUAAGAAUUUGGAUUAAUUUUAUUUUAAAUCAUCACAUAUGCAAUGUUUACAAAGACUUGAACCCAGGCAUUGAUUGUUUAUUUUUGGGGACUACAAAACAAUUCUGCACAAUAAAAUAAAUGA